UACAUGGGGUGCAAACGUUGCUCGGAAUCAUUGGGCGUAAAGCGCGCGUAGGCGGUUGCUUAAGUCGGAUGUGAAAGCCCUCGGCUUAACUGAGGAAGUGCAUCCGAAACUGAGCAGCUAGAGUACGAAAGAGGGUCGCGGAAUUCCCGGUGUAGAGGUGAAAUUCGUAGAUAUCGGGAGGAACACCUGAGGCGAAGGCGGGCUACUGGGCUGAUACUGACGCUGAUGCGCGAAAGCCAGGGGGAGCGAACGGG
rnacentral:rRNA from 1 species